UCCUCUUCUCUCCUCUCUUCUCCUCUCCUCUUCUCUCCACUCCUUCUCCCGUUACUCUCUCGCGCGCGUGUGGCUCUGCAAAAACAAGCAUACGGAGAUCCCCAGUAGUAGCAGCCCGGUACGCAGAGCAGACGAGAACGUCAAACCGGUCGGCACUCGCGUACAGGUACUUCAUCAAGACUAAAUCGGAUCUAUCUAUGUUGGAAAUCGUGUUUCGUCUUUCUACGUUUUCGACGUCAUCCUUAAAGACUACGUCAUUGAACGCAGCAACGACCACCUUCGCAAAAGAGAGAGGGAGAGAGAGAGGGAGAGCGACAUUGAUUUGAAAGAAUGACGUUGAGUAGAAAUCGAUCGAGCGAUUUCUAGGGAAAGAGUUUAAAGUGAUUCGAUGAGAGUGAAUUCCACAUGUCGAAAGUUCUUCAGUGCUUUUCUGCGAUAAAGUGUUACCGUUCAAUAUUUAUAUAACAAAUCAGUGUGUAAUCUAUAUAUCUGAAACAAAUCGACGAAAAAAGAAAGAAAGAAGUUUAAAGGGAACGUAGUCUGUUUAAAAAAAUCAAUAUAUAAAAAUAAAUAAAUAAAUAAAUAAAUAAAUA